GACGAACGCUGGCGGCGUGCCUAAUACAUGCAAGUCGAGCGCAGGAAACUGACGGAACUCUUCGGAGGGAAGGCAGUGGAAUGAGCGGCGGACGGGUGAGUAACACGUAAGGAACCUGCCUCAAGGAUUGGGAUGACUCCGAGAAAUCGGAGCUAAUACCGGAUAGUUCAACGGACCGCAUGGUCCGCUGAUGAAAGGCGCUCCGGCGUCACCUUGAGAUGGCCUUGCGGUGCAUUAGCUAGUUGGUGGGGUAACGGCCCACCAAGGCGACGAGGCAUAGCCGACCUGGGGGGGUGAUCGGCCACACUGGGACUGAGACACGGCCCAGACUCCUACGGGAGGCAGCAGUAGGGAAUCUUCCACAAUGGACGAAAGUCUGAUGGAGCAACGCCGCGUGAGUGAUGAAGGUUUUCGGAUCGUAAAACUCUGUUGUAAGGGAAGAACACGUACGAGAGGAAAUGCUCGUACCUUGACGGUACCUUACGAGAAAGCCACGGCUAACUACGUGCCAGCAGCCGCAGUAA
rnacentral:rRNA from 1 species